UACAGGGGAUGCGAGUGUUAUCCGGAAUUAUUGGGCGUAAAGCGUCUGUAGAUGGAAAUUUAAGUUUUUUGUUAAAUCUAUAGGCUUAACUUAUUGUAUGCAAAAAAUACUAUUUUUCUAGAGAAUAAAAGAAGUAAAGAGAAUUUUCAGUGGAAUGGUGAAAUAUAUAGAUAUUGAAAAGAAUACCAAAAGCGAAGGCACUUUACUAAUUUAUUGCUGACAUUGAGAGACGAAAGCUAAGGGAGCAAAUGGG
rnacentral:rRNA from 1 species